UCCGUAGGUGAACCUGCGGAAGGAUCAUUAUCGUGGGGCUCCGGCCCUAUCGAGAUAGAACCCUUGCCUUUAUAGUACCUUCUGUUGCCUCGGCGCCCGCCUCACGGCGGCGCCAACGGGGCCAAACUAAAAACCUUUUUUUAUUCAAAGAAUCAGUCUGAAAAAACAAACAAAAAUUAAAACUUUCAACAACGGAUCUCUUGGUUCUGGCAUCGAUGAAGAACGCAGCGAAAUGCGAUAAGUAGUGUGAAUUGCAGAAUUCAGUGAAUCAUCGAAUCUUUGAACGCACAUUGCGCCCUUUGGUAUUCCUUAGGGCAUGCCUGUUCGAGCGUCAUUUAAACCUUCAAGCUCUGCUUGGUGUUGGGCAUGUCACGCCCCCCUCCGCGGGGGUGUGCGCCUCAAAUGUAUUGGCGGCCGGUACGUUGGCUUCGAGCGCAGCAGAAACGCGAACUCGGGGACUCCGGAUCGGCCCUCCACAAGCUAUUUUACCAUUUUGACCUCGGAUCAGGUAGGGAUACCCGCUGAACUUAA
rnacentral:rRNA from 1 species